rnacentral:rRNA from 1 species
GAGGUUGGUGGUCGGGCGUGGGUGGGUUGUCGGGAGUAUAGUGGGGAGACAAAGCGAACGGGGCCAAAUUCGAGGAGAGGGUUCGCUUCAGCGGCCGCUAAACCGGGUGCCGCUUGGGUAAGGUCGCCCUCUAGAUAUCCGUGGUACAGACUGCGACCAUCAACACUACCCUGGCGUCGGAGACCCCUACGUCGAUUACUGUUGUGGUUAUCCGUCGGUAACGUUCGGUUACUACUUGUCCGUGGAGGACGAGGUUGAAGUGCUUAUAGUCAGUCUUUUCGUCAUCUUCACUAGGUCUGUAAACUGCUAAUGUUCUCCACCGAGUAAUGACUUUAACCCAAACCACCUUACGAUUUCGAUGGGAACGACGUCUUCGAGUUGGAAUUCAAGUCACGGACCUGAUACUCGUUCCAGACGCAGCUCGCGGCUCGUUAACAAGACAGUCUUUGGUUCCAUGAUUUCAAAAAACGCCUUCUGUAGGUGUUCCAAAAACCGUAAGGCACACCAGUGGCUUCACAAUUUCCCGCGCUACCGAAGUAGUUCGGUCUUCGCUAUUGUAAGUAUUUCUCCUGCAAUCCCUACCUGUCCUGCCCUCACGUAUCGGACGCACGCCGACUCCUUAAGGAAGAGGCACUGUAAAGGCUCCGAAGGUCGUUCUACCUCUUCCUAACGAACAUCUAACGUAAGCAGUAUAAACAAUACCCGGUACCACACCGUGGAUCUUGUUUUGUACUAAUACCGUGGUAUCUGAUGACCCCACGCGACCGUUUAUGCCUCUUAUAUAGUGUUAAGUUGACCACACUCAAACAUGAACUGAAAAACGAUCUCCGUCAGGCCGCCGAAUUCUUGCUAUACUACCGGUUGUUAAACUUGUGGUUAGAACAACCAACGGUGAACAAAAAUGUCUAUAAGAAGGAGCUGUUACAACUGGAACCUUAAAAGUUAUUAUUGGUAUUACAGGAAGGAGUGUAAUCACUGAAGCUGGUUUCGUCGUACUUCUUGUACUAUUGUUACCGCUGAGUGUAACCCUUCCCGGGGUGUAGGAUGAGCUUUACGUACUAAGCAGUUCCAUUACUAGAUACGAUGCGAGCAACGUUGUAACGACUAAGGUGACUCUCUUGUAGGUUGGUCGGUCAACUACCGCCGUUAUACCUCCUUCUACAACCGUUCAAGUUGUUACUGUCCUUGCUAAGUCGAGUACAUCGUAGAAGUCGACAGCCCUUGGAUUACCUACAAGUCUGUGGUGACGCAUACGAACCUGGUUACCUGAAAUAUCUCGUGUACGUCUCGGCUAUGGGGUCAGACCAAUCCCUACUCAACUCAAAAUAUAACUUCCUCGUCUUACGGUUUACGGUCGCACUUUAGUUGUGGCGGGCGCGUUUAUACGUCCGUCUGUACUAGUUUAAACACCUGUUUGAUUACCGUAGUUAGUCGUUCUCCACGUAGACGACAUGACGAUCUCCAAAAUGAUUGACAGACUGUUCUCGUCAUCUAUGUAAAGAUCAACUGUGUGACUCCUGAGGCCAGCCGGUCUUUUAUGGUCCACAGUCCGAGCUAUACAGACGAACGUUUCUACCGUUGAGACUUGGCUCCAAGGUACCACUACUGGUCAGUCUGGCAGUCGUCUUGUUCUCCAACGCUGUACUCCUUCCUCGUGAGCGUUGUUACUGUAGAGUCUAAAAAAGUCAAACGUUCCGUCUGUGACGUUCGAUAGUCACUUAACAAAUAACUGGAAGGCUUACUACCUUCGUGGUGCCACAAACCUGUUUUCCGUCUCCCUGAAGAACCUUCUUUUAUACAGAAGUCUAGACCUAAGGUCUAUCUGGGUACCUAGUCCCCACGACAGGGCGAUGGUGGCGUCGGCAUACACAGGGUUGUUAACCUUCCCAAGAAACGAUGUCGUGGCUGUCUUCUUAAUACGUCCUUAAAAGAACGAGUACUCUUAGGCUCCAAGAAUGCUUAUUGCCCAAGUUACAACUUUACGGUCGACCAACUUCUACUCGAAUAGCUGGUACUCCACUACAGUCAGUAAUAGUCUUCCAUAACAGUCAGACUGGUCCUUCGUCUAUUUGUGAGUGGUAUGAAUUGAACCUCCGUGGGUUAACUUGGUCUUAAGAGCUGCGAACAUGAUAACCUAGUACUAAAGGAUGUAUGCCACAGUUACGUCUUUCGUAACACACGGCUGAGUGAGUUUAUACUGUAGUGUAGUCGAGUCGACAAGAAGUGGGGGCAAGGUGCCGGAUUUCCUACCUAACAUCAAAAGACCCUGUACCAUCGGGCGGAGUACAAACAUUAACUAGGUUACAUGUCGUUCUCUUCGGUUGGGAACUGGUGAGUCGUCUCUCUACUCUAAUGUCGAACCUUCGAUGUACUACGGAACAAAUAAACGAAUUUACUCAUAAUACGACCGACCGGACACUCCUUUCUACCUACCUUUCAGUGCAAGGGGCGUGAACAACUAUCGUAAAAAAGAGCAUUACUCUGACCUCGAACGCAGCAGGUAUAUCGGGCGGUAAAGCUACCCUUUUUCGACUUCUACGGGGAGUGGUUCCCAAAGGCUGCUACGCGUAAGUCACCCUCCUCUGCAAGGGCAGCUGCUGCUCCACAGAUGCCACUGAAGUAUUUAAAGUUUUACUAUACGGCCAAUUCAGAAAGCUUCCACGAGUAUCCCCAUUCCACACGCACACACGCAAAUAUCCCUACUCAUAUACUUGCGAACGCAGACAUGACACAAUUUUUUUCAUAAAAGCUUGCUUUCCUCAUUUAUAAUGAACUUUGUGUUAAAAUUACAUAAAAUAUGAGGGAGGUAGAUCUUUAUAAACAGAAUUUUUAUCUAUUUUAUCUACAUAGAUAUUAAUUUUAUUUAGAUCUAUAUUAAUAAAAAACCUGUUCAUAAAAGCUUACUUCCCUCAUAGUAUAUAACCUCUACGAGAUGAUGAUCAUAAUAUGAUAUACGUACUCUUUUGGUCAUCAUAAAUGAGUGGCCAGCGGUGGAUAUUCUCGUAGAGGUUGUCUGCGGGGUUUGCUGCGCGCACGCGCCAUUUGAGUCGAAAAUCGCGCGCGCCCUGCCAAACGGCGCGAGAUCGCCGGCGCCCUUUGUUUGAGCGCGGCCU